CAUGCAAGUCGAACGAUGAUCUCCAGCUUGCUGGGGGGAUAGUGGCGAACGGGAGAGUAACACGUGAGUAACCUGCCCUUGACUCUGGGAUAAGCCUGGGAAACUGGGUCUAAUACCGGAUAUGACUCCUCAUCGCAUGGUGGGGGGUGGAAAGCUUUAUUGUGGUUUUGGAUGGACUCGCGGCCUAUCAGCUUGUUGGUGAGGUAAUGGCUUACCGAGGCGACAACGGGUAGCCGGCCUGAGAGGGUGACCGGCCACACUGGGACUGAGACACGGCCCAGACUCCUACGGGAGGCAGCAGUGGGGAAUAUUGCACAAUGGGCGAAAGCCUGAUGCACCGACGCCGCGUGAGGGAUGACGGCCUUCGGGUUAGAAUCCUCUUU
rnacentral:rRNA from 1 species